rnacentral:misc_RNA from 1 species
UACGUAGGUGGCAAGCGUUGUCCGGAAUUAUUGGGCGUAAAGCGCGCGCAGGCGGUCCAUUAAGUCUGGUGUUUAAGGCUGGGGCUCAACCCUGGUUCGCACUGGAAACUGGUUGACUUGAGUGCAGAAGAGGAAAGUGGAAUUCCACGUGUAGCGGUGAAAUGCGUAGAGAUGUGGAGGAACACCAGUGGCGAAGGCGACUUUCUGGUCUGUAACUGACGCUGAGGCGCGAAAGCGUGGGGAGCGAACAGG